rnacentral:rRNA from 1 species
UGGGGAAUUUUGGACAAUGGGCGCAAGCCUGAUCCAGCAAUGCCGCGUGCAGGAUGAAGGCCUUCGGGUUGUAAACUGCUUUUGUACGGAGCGAAAAGGUCUGCCCUAAUACGGUGGGCUCAUGACGGUACCGUAAGAAUAAGCACCGGCUAACUACGUGCCAGCAGCCGCGGUAAUACGUAGGGUGCGAGCGUUAAUCGGAAUUACUGGGCGUAAAGCGUGCGCAGGCGGUUAUAUAAGACAGAUGUGAAAUCCCCGGGCUCAACCUGGGACCUGCAUUUGUGACUGUAUAGCUAGAGUAUGGCAGAGGGGGGUGGAAUUCCACGUGUAGCAGGGAAAUGCAUAGAGAUGCGGAGGAACACCGAUGGCGAAGGCAGUCCCCUGGGCCUGCACUGACGCUCAUGCACGAAAGCGUGGGGAGCAAACA